UACGUAGGGUGCAAGCGUUAAUCGGAAUUACUGGGCGUAAAGCGUGCGCAGGCGGCUGUGCAAGACAGAUGUGAAAUCCCCGGGCUCAACCUGGGAACUGCAUUUGUGACUGCAUAGCUAGAGUACGGUAGAGGGGGAUGGAAUUCCGCGUGUAGCAGUGAAAUGCGUAGAUAUGCGGAGGAACACCGAUGGCGAAGGCAAUCCCCUGGACCUGUACUGACGCUCAUGCACGAAAGCGUGGGGAGCAAACAGG
rnacentral:rRNA from 1 species